AAGCCAUGAUGGGGGCACUGCCUCAGCAUACUUUUGAAUAUGUCCCAGGCUUCAAAUAAUGAUUCUGAGUCUAUCUGUUUAAAGCUAGCAAUCAAGUUCCUCAUGUGGGU